UGUUUGCUGUGAUGAUUCCCAAUGACGAUAUCUGAGGAAGGUAGCCCUCGAAAAGGGACUCCUUCCUUGAUUACACAUCCUAAACUAAUCAUAUAUUCUGAGCAAACC